GACGAACGCUGGCGGCGUGCUUAACACAUGCAAGUCGAGCGGUAAGGCCCUUUCGGGGGUACACGAGCGGCGAACGGGUGAGUAACACGUGGGUGACCUGCCCUCAGCUCUGGGAUAAGCCUGGGAAACCGGGUCUAAUACUGGAUAUGACUCCAUGACGCAUGUUGUGGGGUGGAAAGCCUUGUGCGGCUGAGGAUGGGCCCGCGGCCUAUCAGCUUGUUGGUGGGGUGANGGCCUACCAAGGCGACGACGGGUAGCCGGCCUGAGAGGGCGACCGGCCACACUGGGACUGAGACACGGCCCAGACUCCUACGGGAGGCAGCAGUAACGAAUCUUCCGCAAUGGGCGAAAGCCUGACGGAGCAAUGCCGCGUGCGGGAUGAAGCGCCUUUGGCGUGUAAACCGCUGUCAGGGGACGGAAACAAUGAUUGUCCCCAGAGGAAGAGCCGGCUAA
rnacentral:rRNA from 1 species